rnacentral:rRNA from 1 species
CCUACGGGCGGCAGCAGUGAGGAAUAUUGGUCAAUGGGCGUGAGCCUGAACCAGCCAAGUCGCGUGAGGGAUGACGGUCCUAUGGAUUGUAAACCUCUUUUAUCAGGGAACAAAGUGUGGGACGUGUCCUCUUUUGUAUGUACCUUAUGAAUAAGGAUCGGCUAACUCCGUGCCAGCAGCCGCGGUAAUACGGAGGAUCCGAGCGUUAUCCGGAUUUUUUUGGGUUAAAGGGUGCGUAGGCGGGCUUUUAAGGUCGCGGGUAAAGUCUGUGGGCCAAACACGGGACUGCCGUUGAAACUGGGGAGCUUGAGUGUGUGAGAGGCAGGCGGAAUGCGUGGUGUAGCGGUGAAAUGCAUAGAUAUCACGCAGAACCCCGAUUGCGAAGGCAGCCUACCGGCGCCCGACUGACGCUGAUGCACGAAAGCGUGGGGAUCGAACAGGAUUAGAUACCCGAGUAGUC